GGAGGGAUGGCAGAGUGGUCGAAUGCACUAGUCUUGAAAACUAGCAGGGUGGCAACAUCCUCCAGGGUUCGAAUCCCUGUCCCUCCGCCA
rnacentral:tRNA from 3 species